UACAGAGGUCCCGAGCGUUGUUCGGAUUCAUUGGGCGUAAAGGGUGCGUAGGCGGCUUCCUAAGUUUGAUGUGAAAUCCUGGGGCUCAACCCUGGAACUGCAUUGAAUACUGGGAGGCUAGAGUACUGGAGAGGAAACUGGAAUUUACGGUGUAGCAGUGAAAUGCGUAGAGAUCGUAAGGAAGACCAGUGGCGAAGGCGAGUUUUUGGACAGUUACUGACGCUGAGGCACGAAGGCCAGGGGAGCAAACGGG
rnacentral:rRNA from 1 species